UACGUAGGGAGCAAGCGUUGUCCGGAUUUAUUGGGCGUAAAGAGCUCGUAGGCGGCUUAGAAAGUCAGGUGUGAAACCUCCAGGCUUAACCUGGAGACGCCACUUGAUACUUCUAUGGCUUGAGUUCGGUAGGGGUAAGCGGAAUUCCUGGUGUAGCGGUGAAAUGCACAGAUAUCAGGAGGAACACCGAUGGCGAAGGCAGCUUACUGGGCCGAGUACUGACGCUGAGGAGCGAAAGCGUGGGGAGCGAACAGG
rnacentral:rRNA from 1 species